rnacentral:rRNA from 1 species
AGGAUCAUUACUGAACUGUCGACAUGAGUUGUUGCUGGUCUUCAAAUGGGGGCAUGUGCACACUCUGUUUACACAUCCACUCACACCUGUGCACCUUCUGUAGUUCUAUGGGCUGGGGGACCCUGUCCUCCUUCUGUAGCUCUACGUCUUUACACACACACUAUAAUAAAGUCUUGUGGAAUGUAUGCCGCGUUUAACGCAAUACAAUACAACUUUCAGCAACGGAUCUCUUGGCUCUCGCAUCGAUGAAGAACGCAGCGAAAUGCGAUAAGUAAUGUGAAUUGCAGAAUUCAGUGAAUCAUCGAAUCUUUGAACGCACCUUGCGCCCCUUGGUUAUUCCGAAGGGCAUGCCUGUUUGAGUAUCAUGAACACCUCAACUCUUGUGGUUUCCCACAAUGAGCUUGGACCAUGGGGGUUUUGUUGGCCUUCUGGUCAGCUCCUCUCAAAUAUAUCAGCUUACCGGUGUUUGGUGGCAUUAUGGGUGUGAUAACUAUCUACGCUCAUUGUUGUCUCCAAAUGGCCUCCAGUGAUGGGGGUUCGCUGGAGCUCAUAAAUGUCUCUCCCUAGUGAAGACAACCUUUGAAGUUCGAUCUCAAAUCAGGUAGGACUACCCGCUGAACUUAAGCAUAUCAAUAAGCGGAGGAAAAGAAACUAACAAGGAUUCCCCUAGUAACUGCGAGUGAAGCGGGAAGAGCUCAAAUUUAAAAUCUGGCGUGCCUCUGGUCGUCCGAGUUGUAGUCUGGAGAAGCGUUUUCCGUGUUGGACCGUGUACAAGUCCCUUGGAACA